rnacentral:rRNA from 1 species
GAUGAACGCUGGCGGCGUGCUUAACACAUGCAAGUCGAACGAAGCACUUUAUUUGAUUUCCUUCGGGACUGAUUAUUUUGUGACUGAGUGGCGGACGGGUGAGUAACGCGUGGGUAACCUGCCUUGUACAGGGGGAUAACAGUUGGAAACGGCUGCUAAUACCGCAUAAGCGCACAGCAUCGCAUGAUGCAGUGUGAAAAACUCCGGCGGUAUAAGAUGGACCCGCGUUGGAUUAGCUAGUUGGUGAGGUAACGGCCCACCAAGGCGACGAUCCAUAGCCGGCCUGAGAGGGUGACCGGCCACAUUGGGACUGAGACACGGCCCAAACUCCUACGGGAGGCAGCAGUGGGGAAUAUUGCACAAUGGGCGAAAGCCUGAUGCAGCGACGCCGCGUGAGCGAAGAAGUAUUUCGGUAUGUAAAGCUCUAUCAGCAGGGAAGAUAAUGACGGUACCUGACUAAGAAGCACCGGCUAAAUACGUG